rnacentral:rRNA from 1 species
GACAGAGGGUGCAAACGUUGUUCGGAAUUACUGGGCGUAAAGGGCGCGUAGGCGGGAUGGCAAGUCGGUCGUGAAAUCCUUCGGCUCAACCGAAGAACGUCGGCCGAUACUGCCGUUCUUGAGGGAUGCAGAGGAGAUUGGAAUUCCCGGUGUAGCGGUGAAAUGUGUAGAGAUCGGGAGGAACACCGGUGGCGAAGGCGGGUCUCUGGGCAUCUCCUGACGCUGAGGCGCGAAAGCGUGGGGAGCAAACGGG